GUCUAAGGCCAUAGCACCCUGAACGCGCCCUAUCUCAUCUGAUCUCGGAAGCUAAGCAGGGUCGGGCCUGGUUAGUACUUGGGUGGGAGACCGCCUGGGCAUACCGGGUGCUGUAGGCU
ensembl:rRNA 5S_rRNA 5S ribosomal RNA